UACGAAGGGUGCAAGCGUUGUUCGGAUUUACUGGGCGUAAAGCGUCCGUAGGUGGUUUGUUAAGUCAGGGGUGAAAUCCCGGGGCCCAACCCCGGAACUGCCUUUGAUACUGGCAAGCUGGAGCGUGAUAGAGGAAGAUGGAAUAUCUGGUGUAGGGGUGAAAUCCGUAGAUAUCAGAUGGAACACCAAUGGCGAAGGCAGUCUUCUGGAUCGUCGCUGACACUGAGGGACGAAAGCGUGGGUAGCAAACA
rnacentral:rRNA from 1 species